rnacentral:rRNA from 1 species
AAUGAACGCUGGCGGCGCGCCUAAUACAUGCAAGUCGAGCGAGAAGACGUAGCAAUACGUUUGUAAAGCGGCGAACGGGUGAGGAAUACAUGGGUAACCUACCCUCGAGUGGGGAAUAACUAGCCGAAAGGUUAGCUAAUACCGCGUACGCUCCUUGGACUUUGGUUCAGGGAGGAAAGCGAUACCGUGGGUAUCGCGCUCUUGGUUGGGCUCAUGUCCUAUCAGCUUGUUGGUGAGGAACGGCUCACCAAGGCUUCGACGGGUAGCUGGUCUGAGAGGACGAUCAGCCACACUGGCACUGCGACACGGGCCAGACUCCUACGGGAGGCAGCAGUAAGGAAUAUUGCGCAAUGGGCGAAAGCCUGACGCAGCGACGCCGCGUGGGGGAUGAAGGUCUUCGGAUUGUAAACCCCUUUCGGGAGGGAAGAUGGAACGAGCAAUCGUUCGGACGGUACCUCCAG